CCUACGGGUGUCAGCAGUGAGGAAUAUUGGUCAAUGGCCGGAAGGCUGAACCAGCCAUGCCGCGUGAAGGUCAGUGCCCUAUGGGCGUUAAACUUCUUUUGUGCGGGAGCAAUAAUGGUCACGUGUGGCCAGACGAGAGUACCGUACGAAUAAGCAUCGGCUAACUCCGUGCCAGCAGCCGCGGUAAUACGGGGGAUGCAAGCGUUAUACGGAUUUAUGGGGUUUAAAGGGGGCGUAGGCUGUGAGGUAAGUCAGCGGUGAAAUGCCGCCGCUCAACGGGGUGAAGUGCCAUUGAUACUGCGUUGCUUGAAUGCGCAUGAAGUGCGAGGAAUGUGUGGUGUAGCGGUGAAAUGCAUAGAUAUCACACAGAACACCGAUUGCGAAGGCAUCUCACGAAUCCGCGAUUGACGCUGAUGCACGAAAGCGUGGGUAUCAAACAGGAUUAGAUACCCGGGUAGUC
rnacentral:rRNA from 1 species